GCACGACAGAGUUUAACAAGAUUACCCAGACCUUCCGGCCAAGGUGAAUAACUCGUUGGCUCUGUCAGUGUAGCGCGCGUGCGGCCCAGAACAUCUAAGGGCAUCACAGACCUGUUAUUGCCUCAAACUUCCAUCGGCUUGAGCCGAUAGUCCCUCUAAGAAGCCGGCGACCAGCCAAAGCUAGCCUGGCUAUUUAGCAGGUUAAGGUCUCGUUCGUUAUCGCAAUUGAGCAGACAAAUCACUCCACCAACUAAGAACGGCCAUGCACCACCAUCCAAAAGAUCAAGAAAGAGCUCUCAAUCUGUCAAUCCUUAUUUUGUCUGGACCUGGUGAGUUUCCCCGUGUUGAGUCAAAUCAAGCCGCAGGCUCCACGCCUUGUGGUGCCCUUCCGUCAAUUUCUUUAAGUUUCAAGCCUUGCGACCAUACUCCCCCCAGA
rnacentral:rRNA from 1 species